AACGCACGAGACCUGCGGACCUGCGGAAGGAUCAUUACCGAGUUAUCAACUCCCAAACCCCUGUGAACAUACCCGAACGUUGCCUCGGCGGGACCGCCCCGGCGCCCCUAGCGGCCCGGAACCAGGCGCCCGCCGGAGGACCCAAACUCUUGCUUUAAACAGUGGCAUACUCUCUGAGUCUCACAAACAAAAAAUAAAUCAAAACUUUUAGCAAUGGAUCUCUAGAUCGGAAGAGCACAC
rnacentral:misc_RNA from 1 species